AAAAAAAAAAAAAGAUAGUUCAGAAUUCACAUUCAGAUGAAAGCUGAGUCGCGACUCGUUUUUCUGGAAAUUGGAACAAAACCCUGUCACACAGCUCACGAAAGACAAAACUCUCACGGCAGCUCUCCUCUCCCGUCUCCGCCCCGGCGUCACCAAUCAGCGCGGCAGCGCCGCUCGUAUCUGAGUUUUUGUCUAACUUUCGGGGCUCGUCUCUCUCUGUCUCUUCAUCUAAUUUGGACAUGUCAUGAUGCCAUUUGAAUUGUUGACCGGACACAUCAUGCCACUCUCUACUUCAACUCCUGGAUCUUCAUCGCUGGGACGAGUUUGUUUUGCUUUGAACAGUAGAUUUUGACAAUCGGUGACACCACGCCUACCGCCACCCCACCCCCGGAGUCUGAAACUGUGACCCAGCUCCUAGCCCACAUAAUGCUCCUUCUUCAGCACCGCGCCGCCACGCUGGCUGCCCUAGAUGUGGGGCUAGGGUUGAAUGGGGCAGGCUGACUCAUUGAUGGCUGUAGUGUGGAGAUGUUUGUUUAGUGGGGGUGAAACAGUUUUAUGAUUUUAUCAUGCAACUCUCACCCCCAAGGUGCACCUUUAUUUGGGACCGAUGAAAAUGCUUGAUCAGAAGUAAUUUUGGUAGUGUUUUUAUGAGGUGUUUUUGCAUAAUGAUAACAUAGGUCUUAAGUAGUUAAGAUUGAGUCACUCUUCACUCUGUACCAAAUAUUAAAUUAAUAUAUGUUCAUGUCUUAAUUAUUAUUGAUCUA